UUCGCUCUUGCCGGUCGCAAGGCCGGCUAUGGCGAUAAACGUUCUUCGAAAUAAACCUAUCGGACCCGGGGGCGGUACCCGGCGCCUCCACCAAGACCCAGGACCGAUGGCCGCAAGGCCUGUGCGGACCGGAAGACUGGGUUUCGGCGGGGGCGAAAUAGGAUCGACGAGGGCGUAAAGGUUGAGCUUUCGCUCGGCAUGGUUCCGCCGUUAUCGGGCCUCUGCAAUAGUUGCCAACGACAACUUUGCUCCGGUGGCUGUCGCCGCGUAAGCGGUGCCAAAAACCGACCUAAAGUCCUAGCGGGUAGCACUGCAUAGGCGGGGUUCGGAGGUACCUGGCAACAGAAACCUCCACUUAUCUU
rnacentral:tmRNA from 1 species